AGUGUGGGGUGUCUGGCCGCCGUGCAUUUCGUCAGCACGGAGGAACUUCCGGAUACUUAUGGGCUUUGGCUGGUUAAGAGCCAGCAUUGUGUGGGGUGGCCACAGAAACUAGACCGCCGGGAAUUCCCGGUAAGGGUGAAAAGGUGAGGUAAGAGCUCACCGGCUUAGCCGUGAGGCUAAGUGUCACGGUCCCCCACCAAAGUACAAUUUUAAGCAGCGGUAGGUAGCCCAUACCUUUAACCGCGGGUGAAAAGCAAAAUCUCCUGCCGUAAGGCAGGAGAUAAGAUAGAUGGCCAGAAGAACAGAAUCCGGGGUACUACCCCACGCUAAGC
rnacentral:RNase_P_RNA from 1 species